GGAGGAUUGGGUUUGAUAACAUUGUCUGAUUACAACACCUUUGACAGCUUUAAAGGAAUUUGCAGACAGAGAAGGACAACAGCUGCUACUUUUUUGAAGGAUUUGCUAACCAUGCCUCCCAACUUAAGUGCACAGGCUUGAGACUUCAGAGUAUGCUUUUUAACACAUCAUGGAACAGAAGUAAUGAAGGGGUUUCUUUUCCAAGGCUUUCAGAAGUUCUGCAAAUGUCAUUUUUUUGCAGCAUGAAUUUAUUCCUUCAGAUUCUCCAAUGCACAAGAAAGAAAAGCCAAGUUUUACCUAAUGUCCUCCAUCCAUACUAAGGAAAAGAUCUUCCGUGAACCAAGCAUUCAGAGAAAAGCAAAAAGUAGAGAGAAGAGUUUGAUUCCAGGAACCAAGAGAAUGGUUUA